GAUGAAGAACGCAGCGAAAUGCGAUAAGUAGUGUGAAUUGCAGAAUUCAGUGAAUCAUCGAAUCUUUGAACGCACCUUGCGCCCUUUGGCUAUUCCGAAGGGCAUGCCUGUUUGAGUAUCAUGAACACCUCAACUCUCAUGGUUUUUCCAUGAUGGGCUUGGACUUUGGGGGUCUUGCCGGCCUAUGGUCAGCUCCUCUUAAAUGAAUCAGCUUGCCAGUGUUUGGUGUGGCAUCACAGGUGUGAUAACUAUCUACGCUUGUGGUUUUCCAUCAAGUAACCUUCAGUGAUGGAGGUUCGCUGGGGCUCAUAAAGGCCUCUCCUCGGUGAGGAUGGCUCCUUUGAACGUUUGAUCUCAAAUCGGGUAGGACUACCCGCUGAACUUAAGCAUAUCAAUAAGCGGAGGA
rnacentral:misc_RNA from 1 species